UUUUGUAUUUAUUUAAUUUUUAUAUUUUAAUUUAGUUAUUUAUUCUAAAUGGUCCAUUUUAACACACAUUUUUUUCUUGAUUUUAUUUUUAUGUCUUAAAAUUAUUUUUAGCUUUUGAUUUUGGGAUGAAGGUUGACCACUGUCCCAUGGUCAACCCAACCUUUUCUUGGAAUUUUAUUUCCCAUUUUCAAUUUAUUUUGGAUUUAUUUUUAACCUAGUCUUGUGGAUUG
rnacentral:lncRNA from 1 species